rnacentral:rRNA from 1 species
GAUGAACGCUGGUGGCGUGCUUAACACAUGCAAGUCGAGCGAAGCAGUUAAGUUGAUUUCUUCGGAUUGAUUCUUAAUUGACUGAGCGGCGGACGGGUGAGUAACGCGUGGGUGACCUGCCCCAUACCGGGGGAUAACAGCUGGAAACGGCUGCUAAUACCGCAUAAGCGCACAGAGCUGCAUGGCUCAGUGUGAAAAACUCCGGUGGUAUGGGAUGGGCCCGCGUCUGAUUAGGCAGUUGGCGGGGUAACGGCCCACCAAACCGACGAUCCAUAGCCGACCUGAGAGGGUGACCGGCCACAUUGGGACUGAGACACGGCCCAAACUCCUACGGGAGGCAGCAGUGGGGAAUAUUGCACAAUGGGCGAAAGCCUGAUGCAGCGACGCCGCGUGAGCGAAGAAGUAUUUCGGUAUGUAAAGCUCUAUCAGCAGGGAAGAUAAUGACGGUACCUGACUAAGAAGCACCGG